rnacentral:rRNA from 1 species
UACGGAGGGUGCGAGCGUUGUUCGGAAUCACUGGGCGUAAAGCGCGUGUAGGCGGUCGCUUAAGUCUGAUGUGAAAGCCCGGGGCUUACCCCCGGAAGGGCAUUGGAAACUGGGUGACUAGAGUACCGGAGAGGAGGGUGGAAUUCCUGGUGUAGCGGUGAAAUGCGUAGAUAUCAGGAGGAACACCGGUGGCGAAGGCGGCCCUCUGGACGGAUACUGACGCUGAGACGCGAAAGCGUGGGGAGCAAACAGG